ensembl:lncRNA
GUUCAAAGGUCAGUGGACUAUGCCCCAGGCACCCGCUAGAGGGCACCAGAGUCAGGCCCUCUCUCCACCAACCCACGGCGGUUUCCAGAGCUCGCUGCGCCCGGGUUCUGACGCUGUGUAAGGCGGCGGCUCUCAGCCAAGCCGCCGCUCAGUUCCAACUACGAGACGCUUGGCACUUGUGUUUGGCUAAACAAGCAAUCAGAAUGACUUCAAUCCAAAGCCUAACUGGAAAAAUUACUCACGACAGUAUUGACAAAGAAGUCUUAGAAAAGGAGGACCUCCGCAGAAGAGAGAACCCAGGGCCAGCCGCAGAAGAGGAGAGAUUUACCAUACUGGAUGCAUACCCGAAAGGGCCCAAACCAGAAAGCAUGAUUCAAACACUGUGCUCAGGACCAAGGAAAUGGGAUCCCUGAGUCCAACCAGAGGAGUGACGCCGGUUACAUACGAUGUAGAAUACUGCGCUGUCCCUGAGCACAGUGGCGCACCCGAGUCCCAGCAACUGGGAGGCUGAGAUGCGAGGAUUGCAAGUUUGAGCCCAGCCCGGGCAACUCAGGGAGACCAUGUCUCAAAAGAAAAAGAAAAAAAAAGGUCAUCUGGGAAGCGGUCUCGAGAUGUUACGUGAUCCUGUCCCAAUGUGCUCCUCCUACCGGCCCAAAGCAAUGGUCCUACCAACCCCGGGCGGAAAUCUCCAGCUAACCUUUCAGUUUAUACAUUUAUUAUCUCGUUUUUCCUUAGAGGGACAUGAAGCUGACGAACAACAAAAAUGUUUUUCUCAAAAUUAAAAAGUCAUUAAAUUAUAUCCUGGAGUGACAUAAAGUCAGAUUGCUGGUGGUUUCUAAUGGUAGGAUUAUGGGCUAUUUAAGUUUCCUCUUUGCAUUUUCCUGUUUCCCAAAUUUCUGCAAGUAUUUGUAUCUGAUAACAGAAAUUAUGCAUACAGCAUUUUCACUCUUCUGUUAAGGUAGUAGCUCUACCCUGGAGACCUUUUCCAUGGGCUGAGAUCGGGCUGAGCAGGUCCACUCUGCUGAGGGGGACAAAUGUCAGUCUAGGCCAGGAAAAGGAGGGGCUUGGACCAGAAUAGAAGAAAUGGAAACCAGCUCACCUGACCAGCAGUUCUCAGGCCCCAGUGAGGGCCCCGGGAAAUCCCAGGCCAUGGUCCUGGUCCAGAGAGGUCUUCCCGGAGCAUGGCUGAACCUCAGGCCCUUGACUUAUUUUUCACAUUAUUUUAAAUCUAUUCUCCAGAAAAAUGCAUAUUUUUGGUAGAAAAGUUGCAUAUAGAGAAAACACAAGGAAAAACCACCACACAUACUUCCAUCACCCAAACUAACCAACAUUCCCAUUGUUGUACACAUUUCCCAUCUUCUCUUUUAACUCAAAAUCAGGAUUAUAUUGUAAAUAAUAUUUGAUAAACUUUCAUCUUUUUAUUUUUAUUUUAAAUAAAAUAGGUUUGUUGAGACAGAGUCUCGCUAUGUAAUUCAGGCUGGCCUUGGAUUCACAGCAAUUCUCCUGCCUCAGCCUCUUGAGUGCUGGGAUUACAGGUGUGGGCCACCACACCUGGCAUUAUUUUGAAAAUUUUCAAACCUACAGAAAUGAACCUUCACCUAGAUUCACCAGUUGUUAAUGUUUUAUCUCUCUCCCCAUAAAUAUUUUCCUAGAUUUCACCAUCUGUUAAAUUUUAACUGUGUCUAUAAAUAUUUUCCCAGGCCACUUGAAAAGAAGUUGUAAAUUUGGGAACAAAAGGUUGUCCUAAUUAAAAAAGAAAGAAAGAAGUUGUAGACAUUAUGAUACUUUCUCCUAAAUUCUUCAGCUGUGUCUAAGAGGAAGUCAUCAAGGGCUAGAAUAGAAAGCCCCCACGUGAAGAAUAGCCCAGGCUUGUCCGAAAAUCUUUACUAGGGGGCGGUCUCCUUCUCCGACUUCUCUCUGCCGCCCCCCAGGACUCAGGAGACAGACUUCUCUCCCGAGGAACGAGCCAGCUUCCUCCCGGCAGCCUGGCACCACGUAGGAAGGGCAUAACUGUAGCAGCUCGGAGGGCGGGGGGUGCAGCUCGGUGGCAGAGCGCUUGCUUAGCUUGCUCAAGGCCUGGGUUCCAUCCCCCAGUACCCUUCCCCUCCAAAGGAAAGGAAAGGAGAGGAGGGGAGGGGAGGAGAGAAGCGGAAGGGAGAGGAGACAGGUUAAAUGCUGAGCUGCAAAGCAAAGAUGAUCUGUGCUGCCACCUAGUGGUGAUAUCUAGAAUUCCCCCAGGUAUUUUGUUUUUGAGGCAGGGUCUCCCUGUGUAGUCUAGGCUGGCCUUGCCCUCACUAUGCAGUCCAGGCUGGCCUCGAACUCGUGAUGACCCUCCGUGCGCCUCCACAUCGGGCUCCCCCAGGCAUUUUGGAUUAACAAGGAGGGAUCUUUGCCCUAUCC